rnacentral:rRNA from 1 species
GACGAACGCUGGCGGCGUGCUUAACACAUGCAAGUCGAACGGGCCUGUCUUCUUUUUUGGGGGUGGGUUGAGUGGCGAACGGGUGAGUAUCACGUGAGUAACCUGCCCUUCGGUCCUGGAUAACCGCUUGAAAGGGCGGCUAAUACGGGGUGGUCCGGUUGGUCCGCAUGGGCUGGUCGGGAUAGAUUCACUGUUUUUGGUGUUUCGGCGGGGGAUGGGCUCGCGGCCUAUCAGCUUGUUGGUGGGGUGAUGGCCUACCAAGGCGGUGACGGGUAGCCGGCGUGGGGGGGUGGGCGGCCACGCUGGGACUGAGAUACGGCCCAGACUCCUGCGGGAGGCAGCAGUGGGGGGUAUUGCACAAUGGGCGGAAGCCUGAUGCAGCGACGUCGCGUGAGGGAUGGAGGCCUUCGGGUUGUGAACCUCUGUUUCCGGUGGUGAAGGCCCUGUCCGUGUGGUGGGGUUGACGGUAGCCGGGGAUGAAGCGCCGGCUAACUACGUG